rnacentral:sRNA from 1 species
GCUGGGCGUCAUGGCGGGUGCCUGUAAUCCCAGCUACUCAGGAGGCUGAGGCACGAGAAUCGCUUGAACCCGGGAGGCUGAGGUUGCAGUGAGCACCACUGCACUCCAGCCUGGGUGACAGAGCGAGACUGUCCCUCCC